UACGUAGGGGGCUAGCGUUGUCCGGAAUCAUUGGGCGUAAAGCGCGUGUAGGCGGCCCGGUAAGUCCGCUGUGAAAGUCGAGGGCUCAACCCUCGAAUGCCGGUGGAUACUGUCGGGCUAGAGUACGGAAGAGGCGAGUGGAAUUCCUGGUGUAGCGGUGAAAUGCGUAGAUAUCGGGAGGAACAUCAGUGGCGAAGGCGGCUACCUGGCCCAAUACUGGACACUCAGGUGCGACAGCGUGGGGAGCAAACAGG
rnacentral:rRNA from 1 species